UACGUAGGGUGCGAGCGUUGUCCGGAAUUAUUGGGCGGAAAGAGCUUGUAGGCGGUUUGUUGCGUCUGCCGUGAAAAUCCGGGGCUCAACCCCGGACUUGCGGUGGGUACGGGCAGACUAGAGUGUGGUAGGGGAGACUGGAAUUCCUGGUGUAGCGGUGAAAUGCGCAGAUAUCAGGAGGAACACCGAUGGCGAAGGCAGGUCUCUGGGCCACUACUGACGCUGAGAAGCGAAAGCGUGGGGAGCGAACAGG
rnacentral:rRNA from 1 species